CGGCACCUCUUCGUCUUCGUCUCCGCUCCGUCUCCGCCGACGCCGGCACCACCCCCCACCAACCCACCGGAGCGUCCACUCCAGCGGCGACUCGAGCACCGGAUCCGUCUCGAUUUGUUGCGGCUCAGCGCGCGCAAGAUCUAUUGGUAUCUGUGUAGGAGGCGUAUCCAUGGUGUCUCCGUCCGCUCGUGUGCCAUCGCAAAGAAUGGUUCCAGGCCUCCUUGCUGCUUCCCCUGGCCCUACUACUCCUACCUUCGUUGCAGCACCCAUCCCUUCCCAGGUCCCUGAACCCCAUCGUCAAGAACAGGGAGGAAUCUAGACAACAGGGAAAAAACGAAAGGUCAGCUCUGAGUUUGGCAAGAGGGCAAAGGUGCUCCGACCUGCACAUCAGGGCUCCUCCCCUGCUGCCACCAUUCCCACAGCUGGACAUCAGGCACAGCAACUUCCUAGAUCUUCUUAAUCUCAUAUUCCUAACUAUACUGACUUGUCCAUGCAUGUUCCUAAACAAAUGUGCUUGAUCACUGGCCGGAGAUAACUAGCUCGCCCAACAAUAAUUCUCUUACACAGAGCUUUUGGGAAAUAAGGCUUGCAUUCUUGAACUGAGUAGUAGGGAGUCAUUUGGACCGCAUUUCUUCAGAUCACAAGAACAGGAGCCUUGAAAGAGCAGCCUAGUUGAAGAUGGUAUUUCAAAAUGGUAUUUCAUACUUUAGUGUCAUCAGAUUUGCACAAUACAAAACUAGGCAAAUCUUUACCUGCAUAUUUUGGUGCCCUAGAUCUUUUACUUGCAUUAAUUUCUAACUAUUUGAUCCCAUUAUUAAGUACAACCACCUUUUCCUUCAAUUCACUAAUGAUGUGUUCUUUUUUGAGAAUGCAGGUAGAUGUUAGACUGCAAUCGAAGAAGCUGCAGCAGCAGGAUUGCUAAGCCACGUAGAAGAAAAAAUGAGGAGAAAAAGUGAUUCCAAGUACAGUGCUAAUAGAUUAGUGUGGUUCUGUAAUGUAAUCCAUUUUAGUCUUUUCGAGCACUCGCCGAUGUCAUCAUCGGAUCCUGAAGUAUAGUUGUAACACAUAUUUGGAUUUCGAUUUAUGGUGUUGCAAAAUCUGGAACAUAUAGUUGUUAUAGACUUGUUACACAUUAGUUGCAAAA